rnacentral:rRNA from 1 species
GUAUGGUGCGAGCGUUAAUCGGAAUUACUGGGCGUAAAGCGUGCGCAGGCGGUCUUGCAAGACAGGUGUGAAAUCCCCGGGCUUAACCUGGGAACUGCACUUGUGACUGCAAGGCUGGAGUACGGCAGAGGGGGAUGGAAUUCCGCGUGUAGCAGUGAAAUGCGUAGAUAUGCGGAGGAACACCGAUGGCGAAGGCAAUCCCCUGGGCCUGUACUGACGCUCAUGCACGAAAGCGUGGGGAGCAAACAGGAUUAGAUACCCUGGUAGUCCACGCCCUAAACGAUGUCAACUGGUUGUUGGACGGCUUGCUGUUCAGUAACGUAGCUAACGCGUGAAGUUGACCGCCUGGGGAGUACGGCCGCAAGGUUG